UACGAAGGAGGCUAGCGUUGCUCGGAAUCACUGGGCGUAAAGGGUGCGUAGGCGGGUCUUUAAGUCAGGGGUGAAAUCCUGGAGCUCAACUCCAGAACUGCCUUUGAUACUGAGGAUCUUGAGUUCGGGAGAGGUGAGUGGAACUGCGAGUGUAGAGGUGAAAUUCGUAGAUAUUCGCAAGAACACCAGUGGCGAAGGCGGCUCACUGGCCCGAUACUGACGCUGAGGCACGAAAGCGUGGGGAGCAAACAGGG
rnacentral:rRNA from 1 species